UACAGAGGGUGCGAGCGUUGUCCGGAAUCACUGGGCGUAAAGGGCGCGUAGGCGGCCACGCACGUCCGUUGUGAAAUCGCUCGGCUCAACUGGGCGGGGUCAGCGGAUACGGAGUGGCUGGAGCAAGCUAGGGGGCAAUGGAAUUCCCGGUGUAGUGGUGGAAUGCGUAGAUAUCGGGAGGAACACCAGUGGCGAAGGCGGUUGCCUGGAGCUUUGCUGACGCUGAUGCGCGAAAGCGUGGGGAGCGAUCCGG
rnacentral:rRNA from 1 species